GCACGUCCCAAAGAGGAAGCUGCAACAUUGGAUGUAAGUGUCCUUUUUGAGGUACUGCUCCCUGUACAUAAAAGUCACUGGGUCACAAUGCUGGUGUCACAGUGGGAGGAAUCUCCUCUGAGAGGCUACUUUGCAUGUGAAGGAACUGGAGUCAUUUCUAAUAUUUAGCACAUAUUAUCCAAAAAGUGUAACAAUUACCACUGUUAGGAAGAUUGGGUCCACUUUCGCUGUCCCCAGCAGCCAGGGGCCUUGCAGGGUGGAGAAGAGUAGGAAACUAUCACUUUACUGGAAGAUGUUCUUUUAGCUGAAGACUGAACAGAGUUGGAGGUCUCCAAGAGGAGUUAAGCUUCAAGAGUACCUGGUCAGAUGAGAAGAAUGACUGAUUUUCCCUCACAAUACUGGAAGCAAUGAAAAUCAAAAUGUUACUAAAUGAAUGGAGAAGAAAGAUAAUAAGAAAAGAACCUUUUGCUUCUGGAAAUUCUGGGAAAAAAUCUUUCAAUAAAUGAACUGCCCUCAACACAAACCCAGCUGUUGAGCUACAUGGGACUGAAGAGAAAUGAAGAUCAUUGCUGCCACAUUUAUAUAAACCAUGUAUUUUUUCUGGCUCUUUUAAAUCUUCUAUAAUUUUGCAGUAAUUGGUUGAUUAAAACAUUUUGUGCCAAUGAUAAAAGUUCCUCAUUACUACCUUGAGAAUCAGCACAAUUUGGGACAUGAAAGGCAGGUUUAUCCUGACUUGGCUUGAACAGUGUAGAAUCUGGAAGUGUCUG